ACUCCUACGGGAGGCAGCAGUGGGGAAUAUUGCACAAUGGGCGCAAGCCUGAUGCAGCCAUGCCGCGUGUAUGAAGAAGGCCUUCGGGUUGUAAAUUUACUUUUCAGCAGUGAGGAAGGUGGGUAUGUUAAUAGCAUACUCAUUUGACGUUAGCUGCAGAAAGAAGCACCGGCUAACUCCGUGCCAGCAGCCGCGGUAAUACGGAGGGUGCGAGCGUUAAUCGGAAUUACUGGGCGUAAAGCGCAUGCAGGUGGUUUGUUAAGUCAGAUGUGAAAGCCCGGGGCUCAACCUCGGAAUUGCAUUUGAAACUGGCAAAACUAGAGUACUGUAGAGGGGGGUAGAAUUUCAGGUGUAGCGGUGAAAUGCGUAGAGAUCUGAAGGAAUACCGGUGGCGAAGGCGGCCCCCUGGACAGAUACUGACACUCAGAUGCGAAAGCGUGGGAGGACAAACAGGAUUAGAUACCCUGGUAGGUCGAUGU
rnacentral:rRNA from 1 species